AACGUAGGGGGCGAGCGUUGCCCGGAUUCACUGGGCGUAAAGCGGGUGUAGGCGGUUCUUUAAGUCGGAUGUGAAAUCCUGCGGCUCAACCGCGGAACUGCAUCCGAUACUGGGGAACUUGAGGACGGUAGAGGUCGGUGGAAUUCCAGGUGUACCGGUGAAAUGGGCAGAUAUCUGGAGGAACACCAGUGGCGAAGGCGGCCGACUGGGCCGAGUCCGUGACGCUGAGACCCGAAAGCCAGGGUAGCGAACCGG
rnacentral:rRNA from 1 species